CCUUUCCCAUUUUCCCCUCCCAUUUUCCCCACGACUCCAUCGAGGUAGGCCACCACUCCACGAGCAGACUAGCCCCUCCAUUGAACCCUCAAUCUCCACCUCCGCCGGCCUUCAUCGGAAGCUUAUUGCUGACCAAAGUCCUUCCUAAUGGCGGCCUCAACAGCGGCCGUUGGUGCGCAACGUACACCACGGGGAACUCCGGCCCCGCGCAGUACUGUGCGCUGGAACUCCCAGCGCCCAAAACUGCGCCGCUGCACAACGAUGGCCGUGGGUGACGAAGAGGACCGCGAUGGGCUGAUGGGCAGCGCAGCUGGGAGCUCACAGAUGGAGCGGCCACCUCCUGUUAAUUCCACCGUUGGAGACCGGCUGCAACGCCUUCUUAUCUCUUCUCUUACUCCCUCACCCUCUAGGAAUUUGGAGCCUAUUUCGAUUUUGACUCUUCUCCAGCAGUACGCACUGGCGGAGCUUGGCGCCGUUCUCCGCCGCAUGGCGGCCUGUACGUGUUUCGAAUACCCGCCGACUCUCCGCUUGCAGCCGCCAUGGAAGCGCCGCCCUCCAACCUUUUCAUCCACGGGAGGAGGAGACUGGGGCGGUGAUGCGCUUUAGUUCUUCUGUUCUGUUCGGUUGUAGUACAUGCAGAUGCAGGUGUGCCCUUCUCCACUUGACGUAGUUGAGUUGUUAUGGUAAAUCGCUUUGCAUCCCAUUCUCUAUAUCUUCAUGUUCAUAUUUGGUCAUACUUCCUGAUUGUAUCCUCUCUUUUUAAUCCCAGUAUCUCCCUUGGAUACUCAACUCCUAUAGUUUAAGAAAAAGAAACAUCCAUUAAAUAGUGAUAUCCGUGAGCAAUUAGUUUAUGUAUUAGAUCUGAUAAAAAAAUGAUACGAUAGCAGAUGGGCUUACAAUCUGGGACCUAUGGAUUAUUAAAUCGCUGCGAGUUCAGAUAUUUGGUCUUCAGAUAUACAUAGGAGCAUGUUUCACUGUGUCUUUCAAAUUUGAUUGUUCUUCCUGGAUUGCACAACUCUUGCUACAUAAAUUGUGUAAAUAUGUUGAUUUCUUUCCUGCAGUCUUGAUUAAUUUUUACCCACGUGGUUUCUCCUUGCAGCAUCAAGUGAGCCUGGUACAUCAAGUAUUAGCAUGUGAGUAUGUCCGUUUCUUUCCUGCGGUGUUAUUAACUUUUACCUACCGCUGGUUAUUUAAGCAGGGUAGGGUAAGAUCUUUCUAUCUCUGUUCUACUUUUGGAUCGAGAAGACAAAGAUGGCAUUGGUAGCACAACGGCAUGCACAUCAAAGUGAAUAUUAUUGUGUCAUUUUUUCCAUGUACAAAUUAGUACUUGCCAAUUUUUCUUGAGCAAUAAGAAUCUUUCUUGCGGUAUAUGUCUCAAGUUCUUAAAUGACAUUUUCUAGGCUGCUGAUGAUUCGGAUGCCUCUGUUGGUCGCUCCUCUUUGGUCAGUUCUCUGACUAUUGUUCUGGUUGUUUCUUCCCUUCAUUGUGCUUUGGCUAAUCUUGAUGCUUGGAGGCGAGAGAUUCGUCCGGUGUUCUGCUGGUACUGCUCUCUUUCUUCUCUUUGCAUACCAUUGAGUUGCUUCUGUUGUUAUUGUCUCAGUUUUGAUUUUGUUUUCUAUCUUGCAUAUCAACAAUGGAGUUGGUUUUCUACCAUUGAGUACCGAAUUAGCCACUUCUUUUCGAACCAUCAGGUCCGCUGUGGAGAGACUAAUUUAUCUCUGAAAUGGUACCGAUUAAUUAUUACUUCUACUUUUUAACAUGCUAUAAUCAUCGUAUAAAUAACCUGGUGUGAAAAGUUGUCUCUCUGGCAACUUACAUUUGUAAACCGUAUGGCGGUUUACUUUAGAUGAAUGUACCACCUCAUCAUUUUUAUUUUCUGCAGCUCUCAGCUGCAAUACUCUGUGUACUGUGACCAUGUAGCACUGUCAUUCUCAUUGGUGGAAUAAGAAGAAUAUUGAAUCAGGAUAGCAAAAGGGGUGUACUAUGAGGUUCUAGCCUAUUGUAAUCAUUUUCAAUCUGGUUCUGAUAUAAUAUACAUAAGUGGGAAGUGAAAUCUUAGGUCUUCGCAAUGUCUUACUGUUUCAAGGGUGAUUGUUUCGGAUCUGUUUACUACUGUAUCAUGGUGAACAUAUCAAUAGAAAAAGCACGCUGUAUCAUGGUGAACAUAUACAUAGAAAAAGCACGCAAGAAUUAGUAGUAGGAAGGAACAACCCUUUAGUUACUGAUGCAUACAAGGCACGAUUUUAUGACUAAUAAGUUCGUUUGAAAGUCAGUAGCAUGUAUGGAGUUGAUGAUCUUUGCAGUUAGUCGGAAUAAGUGCAUAACUUUCUACAUUUUUCAGAAAACAAAAGACAAGAAAAAUUCAACUGGAGCAGGUUACAAAAUUGGUUCCUCAAUUGCAAGAGCAAGAUUACGGUGGAUCUUUUCUUCCUUCAAGGUGUGCCUCUUUAUUUUAAUAAGGUCAUUGAGUAAAGUUGCUGCCUUCAAUUCAGAAGGUAUAUAAAUAGAAGAUGGAAGUACCCCAACGCACCGGCGGCAGUGCUGCACUGCUGCCAGGACAUGUGGGUUUGGUUUGGGCAAACACGCACUGGGCUCUUCCAUCUAGGAGGAAACAAGGCUUCUACAAAAGUAACAAUAAAGAAAGAAAACUGUAUCUUUUUUGUUGCACAAAUUGGUUCGACCAACUUCUCUUACUGCUAAUCCAAGCAUGUAAAGUUUUGUUUUCAGUUAUUACUCUACCAGGUAGUUUCCAUUUGUUUGAUAAAUGUACAGUUCUGAAUAUGGCAUAGGUACUUAUGUAUCUCUAAAAUAAGCUUAAAAGCUCACCCAUGUUCUUUUUUGUCUAAUUUUUUUUAUCAGAGUUUUCUUUGGUGACGUUCCAGGUUCUGGGAGCUGCAUACAGAAACAAGUAGGAAUGAAAUUUUCUUUUAGUACUAACCAAACAUGUUGACCUUUUUUCCAGUUACUUUACCAUGUAGAUUCCGUUAGUUUGAUUAUUGUAAAUGUACUUUUCUGGAUAUGGCAUAAAAAGUUCAUCUCGAAAAAUAAGCUUGAAGGCCACCCUGUUCUUUUUGGUCUAAUUUUUACUCAGUUGUUUUCUCAAGUGCAGCGAUUUUCUUCCUUAGGGACAGAACACUCCAGAUUUUGGUAACAACACGCCUACUCGCACGAUUAGAGUGCAAUGCAAAUUGACUAUAAUUGAAUUCUGUUCUUGCAACACACGAUUUGCUUAAAAAGUGCUAUCAUUUAUCCAAAUCUACCAUCAGUUCUCCCCAUAGAAUCGUAGUUACCUUGAGGAGGAGCGGCAUGAAUGGCUGACAAAGAAGUGCAGACAGGCCACCGUCAAGCUAGCUCCCGCCUGAGCUAUCAUUUCCCAUUAACAUCGCCUGCUGCACUGCCCUCGAUUCCUCUUCUUUCCCCAACGCCUUUCUUUUGCCUGCCCGCUUCCCGUUGCCCUUCUUGCAUAUGUUGCAUCGAAUCGACCACUUCUGGCGAACUUGGCUGUUGCUCCCCGCGCCGUGUUGGCGACUUCCGCCCAACCUUUCCUCCUAUGUUUCCUCAUCGUCUUGGCUCGCUGGCUGGGUCUAGCACCUGGACUGUUUGAAGAACCGCCGGUUUAGAUUUUGCGAGCCUGCCUAUUUCUCGGUGGCACGGCGACGACCUGAACCAAGCCUCACCUUUCUUCUCUUUUGCUCUGGUGGUUCGUGGCCAGCUCUAUCGCCUCGACCUGAUCGAUAAGAGGGGAAGCACUGCCAAUUUGGAAGGUAGCGAAUAGCAAACCCACAAAGGAUAGGUGGAGGAAAAAGGGACGAGUACAAUGCAAUGUGAAACACACCAUGUGUCCACUUAGUCUUUAUUUUGCUAACAACAAAUCAAGCUAAUUUUCAAAAAUUACCGGCACGGGCGCGGCGUGUCGCCGCGCCUACCUUCCUAGUGUCCAUUAAUAUCCACGUCCAAAUGUCCAAUGUAAUCCAAUCCAGUUGUGUCCAACAAAGAUAAGUCCAUAGUCCAUUGGACUAUGCUGAUCCAGUUCCAGAUUUACAGGCAGCUAUUUGUGCAGAUUUUAUUUUUAAAAUUAUUUGAUUAGUUUCUACACCUUCUGCAUAUCACAAGUUUGAAUUUAAUCGGAUGAAGUAAUCAGUUUUUUCAUCCAUGCCUAAUUCAUUACUCACUUCAGCAUCAAAGAAUACCGAUUUUUGUGGCUGCAGCAACUGCAAGUUGCAUGAUAUGCCAUUGUUCAUGUUCCUAUAAACUGGAUGGUGGAUGUUGAUAAGAGUUCCAGGAAUGAGGGAGCCACUCUCCUUGCUCACCUUGAUCUUCCAUUAUUUUUUGUCAGUUAGGUUUGAUGUCUAUCACCUAACUAGAUGGAUGUGGAAUUGUUCUACAGUAUUAAUCAUGUCAUCAUGUGUUGUUUCAGGCACGCCAUCGAUACAGGUCCAGUCAAACUAAAUUACCAUGUAUGUUCUCCACAUUUUCAUCUAAUGGUUUUAUGUCACUCUUUUGCGAAUGAUAUCACAUUUUCUUCUUAACGUGACAUUAUACCAUGCAAUUUAUUUGUCAGAUUAUAUUUUGAAAGCAUGUUCCAUGCUCAUUGCUCUAAAAUACCCUGUUCCUUUGUGUCAUAGAUAAAAAAAUGGGAUCCUAUUGCAAAACUGCAUACACACCUCUAUAUUAGCUUAUAAUAUGGUGCCUCCUUAUUGCUUCUACUUUGUUAGUUUGUUCCCACUCCUCAACAACAGGUCAAGAUCAGCAAAUAUGUUUUUUCCCGGAGUCUAAUGGGUGCGGCCAAAAUGCUUGAUGCAACACGAAUGAGGCACUGGGGAUUAGUGAAACUUGAGUACACAAAGAUUGAUGCAUUUUUAUUAUUGUUGAUGGUUUUCAUAUUUUCCUGCUAGUGCUUUUUCUCCUAAUAUAUUGAAUCAAGGAAAUUUGCUUUCUACGGUUUCACCAUCAGUAGACAUGAUUCAACUUUCCAUGCAAGGCUAUUUGCUGGUCACACACUCACACUGCAAAACCUGAGGUAUGGGAGCAAUUCUGCUCACAUGAUUGAUUGCAGUGCCAGACUGGGCUUCAAUCAAAGUUUUAUUUUGUUGCGUCCAGGUUAAAUGGCUGCACAAUCAAUCUGCGGCAAACAAUUUUCAGUGUUCAGUCUAUUUUAUCACUGAAUGAAGGUUGUCCAAAAUCAUAGAAGCAAUUGAAUCUAACAAGAAAGGAUAUUAUAACACUUUUACCAAUAAAAAUAUUAAAUUUAAUACUUAUCCUUUUUGUAAUGUUCUAUCGUUCUAUUUUGAGGUCCUGCCGGUGCUGGUCUGGUGAAGACAAAUCCGAUUCGCUUAUAUUAGCAUAGUGAUGCACGUUGGAUCUAAAAAAAAAAUCAUAUGGUUACAUGGCAAAGUAUAUUCCAAAGUCGUGCCAUUAUCUUUCUUGGUUAAUUUUGAAUACAGAGAUGUUUAUUCAAUUAUGUGACACAUUAGCUUUUGUUUUUUGUGUGUUUUGUUACAUAUUUUUUACUCAGUUCAAAGUACUCAUGUCGGCAUGUGAGAUCACCAUUGGUUAAUGUAUGUACAAUUUUUUACAUUCUGAAGUUCAAAUCAUGGCAUGUGUGUCUACUACCGAUAGAACUUCAAAAUAACCUUCUUCUUUGUUGCACGAUUUUUCUCAGUUUAGUUGUUUAAAUUGCCGCAACAGCGUGCGGGGUAUUAUCUAGUUGAACAAGUAAUGUUCCCUACGGUUAUCUACUUCCAUUUCAGUGUAUAGUAGAGAGAUGUAGAAAAGUUCUGAUGCUAUUUUUAAGCUUAUGAAAACAUGGCUAGUCUAAACAUGCUUGCUUGGUUGUAUCUGAUCUGUCGUUUGUUCAUAGAAGCCGAAUGAAUUUAACCAGUUUCUGGCUGCGCUUUACGAGAGGUUGAAGGCGGUGGAUGCGUUGUCAAGUUCUUUGAGCUCAUCACGUCCAAGAAUGUUUUGCUUAUAAGCAAAGAAGAAGCAUCUGGCAGAGAUGUGACGGAAGAGAUGGCGAGAAGCUUCUUGGUGAAAACAGAAGCAUCCUCUCAGUAGCAUCCACCAUGAUAGCAGCUGUGGUCUCUGCGAUGGAUUACGGUUUCACCAUCAGUAGACAUGAUUCAACUUUCCAUGCAAGGCUAUUUGCUGGUCACACACUCACACUGCAAAACCUGAGGUAUGGGAGCAAUUCUGCUCACAUGAUUGAUUGCAGUGCCAGACUGGGCUUCAAUCAAAGUUUUAUUUUGUUGCGUCCAGGUUAAAUGGCUGCACAAUCAAUCUGCGGCAAACAAUUUUCAGUGUUCAGUCUAUUUUAUCACUGAAUGAAGGUUGUCCAAAAUCAUAGAAGCAAUUGAAUCUAACAAGAAAGGAUAUUAUAACACUUUUACCAAUAAAAAUAUUAAAUUUAAUACUUAUCCUUUUUGUAAUGUUCUAUCGUUCUAUUUUGAGGUCCUGCCGGUGCUGGUCUGGUGAAGACAAAUCCGAUUCGCUUAUAUUAGCAUAGUGAUGCACGUUGGAUCUAAAAAAAAAAUCAUAUGGUUACAUGGCAAAGUAUAUUCCAAAGUCGUGCCAUUAUCUUUCUUGGUUAAUUUUGAAUACAGAGAUGUUUAUUCAAUUAUGUGACACAUUAGCUUUUGUUUUUUGUGUGUUUUGUUACAUAUUUUUUACUCAGUUCAAAGUACUCAUGUCGGCAUGUGAGAUCACCAUUGGUUAAUGUAUGUACAAUUUUUUACAUUCUGAAGUUCAAAUCAUGGCAUGUGUGUCUACUACCGAUAGAACUUCAAAAUAACCUUCUUCUUUGUUGCACGAUUUUUCUCAGUUUAGUUGUUUAAAUUGCCGCAACAGCGUGCGGGGUAUUAUCUAGUUGAACAAGUAAUGUUCCCUACGGUUAUCUACUUCCAUUUCAGUGUAUAGUAGAGAGAUGUAGAAAAGUUCUGAUGCUAUUUUUAAGCUUAUGAAAACAUGGCUAGUCUAAACAUGCUUGCUUGGUUGUAUCUGAUCUGUCGUUUGUUCAUAGAAGCCGAAUGAAUUUAACCAGUUUCUGGCUGCGCUUUACGAGAGGUUGAAGGCGGUGGAUGCGUUGUCAAGUUCUUUGAGCUCAUCACGUCCAAGAAUGUUUUGCUUAUAAGCAAAGAAGAAGCAUCUGGCAGAGAUGUGACGGAAGAGAUGGCGAGAAGCUUCUUGGUGAAAACAGAAGCAUCCUCUCAGUAGCAUCCACCAUGAUAGCAGCUGUGGUCUCUGCGAUGGAUUCGGGUGGGAACAUUUUGUGGUUUCAAAUUCUCCUGCGCCACCAGCAUGAACGCUUGCCUGCGAGGGAAUGUUGGGACCUAAGCCGUGGAGGUGAUUGACUGGCUUUGAAUCCAACAAUUGUAAAUUGUGGUGUUGAUGAUUUCUGAUGGAUAAAACAUAUUCGUAUGGCCCACGAGUACUUCACCUUUCGUAUCUAAACACUCUAAUGAAAUAUCCCAGAGUUAGUGAGGCCUAGUUUUGUCAAGACCCAAUGCUUCAAGGCGUCAAGGUAAUAACCAUAUCCGUUCCUUCACCGGGAAAGAAAGAUGUCGGAAGAACCAUAUUCACCUUCUGAUCAAACAAAGAGUGUUCAAUUGCAAUGUUAAGUUAUUACCAAGAAAAGAGAAAUUUCUUAUUCUAAAG